CAGCGGAGCGUGCGGUUUAAUUCGAUGGUACGCGAAGAACCUUACCCCGACUUGACAUGCGAGUGUAGGAACCCGAAAGGACCACCGGCUCACAGGUGUGACGAGCGCAACCCUCGGGGUCUGUUGGGGACGUCAAGUCGCGUGGCCUUUAUGUCUGGGCUACAUACAUCGCCGGUCACACGGGUCGCGACAACGCAAGUUGAAGCUUCCCUUAAAACCGGCGUCAGUUCAGAUCGAAGUGCAACCCGCCUUCGUGAAGUCGGAGUUGCUAGUAACCGGGGUCAGCACACCGCGGUGAAUAUGUUCCCGGGCCUUGUACACACCGCCGUCACGUCAUGGGAGUCAGUAACACCCGAAGCCGGUAAGCCAACCGCAAGGAGGCAGCCGUCGAAGUGGGACUGGCGACUGGGACGAAGUCGUACAAGGU
rnacentral:rRNA from 1 species